rnacentral:rRNA from 1 species
GAUGAACGCUGGCGGCGUGCCUAAUACAUGCAAGUCGAGCGAACAGACGAGUAGCUUGCUCCUCCGACGUUAUCGGCGGACGGGUGAUUAACACGUCUAUAACCUAGCUAUAAGACUGGGAUAACUUCGGGAAACCGGAGCUAAUACCGGAUGAUAUAUUGAACCGCAUGGUUCAAUAGUGGAAGACGGUUUUGCUUUCACUUAUAGAUGGAUCCGCGCCGCAUUAGCUAGUUGGUAAGGUAACGGCUUACCAAGGCAACGAUGCGUAGCCGACCUGAGAGGGUGAUCGGCCACACUGGAACUGAGACACGGUCCAGACUCCUACGGGAGGCAGCAGUAGGGAAUCCUCCGCAAUGCGCGAAAGCCUGACGGAGCAAAGCCGCGUGAGUGAUGAAGGUCCUCGGAUCGUAAAACUAUGUUAUUAGGGAAGAACAAAUGUGUAAGUAACUAUGAACGUAUUGACGGUACCUACUCAGAAAGCCACGGCUAACUCCGUG